CUGCAGGUCAUUCUGCUGGACAGCAACCCUCUGCAGAGUCCACCUGCCCAGGUCUGCCUGAAGGGGAAACUUCACAUCUUCAAGUACUUGUCCACAGAGGCCGGGCAGCGUGGGUCGGCCCUGGGGGACCUGGCCCCUUCUCGGCCCCCGAGUUUCAGUCCCUGCCCUGCAGAGGAUCUAUUUCCGGGACAUCGGUACGAUGGUGGGCUGGACUCAGGCUUCCACAGCGUUGAUAGUGGCAGCAAGAGGUGGUCUGGAAAUGAGUCAACAGAUGAAUUUUCAGAGCUGUCAUUCCGGAUCUCAGAGCUGGCCCGGGAGCCCCGGGGGCCCAGAGAACGCAAGGAGGAUGGCUCAGCGGACGGAGACCCUGUGCAGAUUGACUUCAUCGACAGCCACGUCCCCGGGGAGGAUGAAGAGCGAGGCACUGUGGAGGAGCAGCGACCACCUGAAUUAAGCCCUGGGGCAGGGGACAGGGAGAGGGCACCAAGCAGCAGGCGGGAGGAGCCGGCAGGGGAGGAGCGGCGGCGCCCGGACACCUUGCAGCUGUGGCAGGAGCGGGAACGGCGGCAGCAGCAGCAGAGCGGGGCGUGGGGGGCCCCGAGGAAGGAUAGCCUCUUGAAGCCAGGGCUCAGGGCUGUUGUGGGAGGGGCCGCCGCCGUGUCCACUCAAGCCAUGCACAAGUAGGUUUCCUGCCAGCAUCCCCUCCCCACUUCUCUUCCUAUGACCAUCCCUCUUAAUUCCCUUCUGUCUCUCCUCAGCGGCCCGCCUAAGUCCAGUGCCUCCCAAGCAGGGGCUGCAGCGGGGCAGGGAGCCCCCGCCCCUGCCCCCGCCUCCCAAGAGCCCCUUCCCAUAGCUGGACCAGGUGGGACAGGGAUUUUGGGAGGAGGAUGGGGCCUGUGUUGGUGAGGGCUGGUUGGGAGAGAGGGACACAGAGGGGAUGCCUGUCUCACCUGCCCCUGUCGCUGUGUCCCUGGUUCCGGCCCCAGCGACAGCACCUGCUCCACGGCCACUUGGCUCCAUUCAGAGACCAAACAGCUUCCUCUUCCGUUCCUCCUCUCAGAGUGGCUCAGGCCCUUCCUCACCAGACUCUGUCCUGAGACCUCGGCGGUACCCCCAGGUUCCAGAUGAGAAGGACUUAAUGACUCAGCUGCGCCAGGUCCUUGAGUCCCGGCUGCAGCGGCCCCUGCCUGAGGACCUGGCCGAGGCUCUGGCCAGUGGGGUCAUCCUGUGCCAGCUGGCCAACCAGCUACGGCCGCGCUCCGUGCCCUUCAUCCAUGUGCCCUCCCCUGCUGUGCCAAAACUCAGUGCCCUCAAGGCUCGGAAGAAUGUGGAGAGUUUUCUAGAAGCCUGUCGAAAAAUGGGGGUGCCUGAGGUAUGGGGGCUGCUUUCUAAAGAGUGGUGGCAUGCCGGGCUCAGCCGAGCAUGUGGCAUGGAUGGUGGGCUUCCAUUUGCAGCAGGUGUCUGCUCUCAGAUGAAGGCACAGGCUGCCCCUGCCCUGCCCAGCAUGCCCCCUGCCCUGCAUGCCCCCUGCCCUGCAUGUCACCUGUCCUACACAUCCCCUGCCCUGCAGGCCCCAUCUUGUCCUGCAUGUCACCUGUCCUGCACAUGCCCUGCCCUGCACUCCUCCCGCACUGCGCUCCCCCUGCCCAGCACGUCGGCAUGUGGGCGUGGUUCUGGCCCCAGCACGUGAGGGCAGGGGUGGGAGGGACUGUCCUGCUGCUGCUGCUGACGUCUGUCCCUUGUCCUUGUCCACCUGCUCUCCUCUCCCCCAGGCUGACCUGUGCUCGCCCUCGGAUCUCCUCCAGGGCACUGCCCGGGGGCUGCGGACCGCGCUGGAGGCCGUGAAGCGGGUGGGGGGCAAGGCCUUACCGCCCCUCUGGCCCCCCUCUGGUCUGGGCGGCUUCGUCGUCUUCUACGUGGUCCUCAUGCUGCUGCUCUAUGUCACCUACACUCGGCUCCUGGGUUCCUAGGCCCCAAAAUCGGCCCUCCCUCACCCCUUUCCCUUCCUCUCUAUUUAUAAGGUCCCUGCUCCACCCGACCCCACCUGCGGUGCCUUCAGCCCCAACCAAAGACACUAGUGCACCCCCUUCACAGACACUGACCUCAGAGGCCCCACUCUGGUGCCCCCAGACCCUGGGCCCCCAGCCUCUGGCCUCCCUCCAGUAGCCCCACGAGUCCCCACCUCUCAGUGCUGACGGUGCCUUCAUGUCCCCGCCGGCCCUGCCCCUGCCCUCUGUACCCCGUGAGGGGUGGCAGGAGCUGGAGUCUCCCCCUUCCUCCUGUGCCCUCCCCUUCCCCCCCCAACAGCUGCUAUGGGGGGGCUAAAUUAUCUCUAUUUUGUAGAGAGGAUCUAUAUUUGUAGGGGUUCGGGGCCCAGGCCGGGUCCCUAUCUCUGUGUAUAAACUGUACAGACCGUGGCCGCCCUGCCUAUGUGUGUGUAUGUGCGCGCGCGUCUGCUCCGCGUGUUGGUGGCUGUGGCCAUGGCUCUGUGCCCACCAGCAUCUCCCUCCUGAGAUGCCGGCCUCUCAUGCUCCCGGAGCCUCCGCCAACCCCCCGUGUCAUCUCCCUUCUGUUAUCGCUGACAGCUUUCUUGCGUCUCAUUUGUCGCCGAGCCCCGAGCGCAGGGUGAUGCUCGGGUCUGCCCCCGACCCCCUGCCACAGGCCGGAAGCCGCGGGGGGCACCGUGGGGAAGCUAACCCGGCCCCUUCCCCCAGGAGUCACUGUGCCAGCCCCACCACAUCCUGGAAGAGGAGGGGGCCCCGGGAAGGGGCCUCCCCUACAUCGCUGCUGUCGUCCACGCCCUGCUGGACCGGCCUUAGGGGUGAAGGUGGGGGCACAGGGCCCACCCCGCCCGGGACCCCGGGAGCAGAAGACGCGCCUGGGCUCCGCGCUCUCAGACAAGCACUUGGUGAGGGUGGCCUGGGCCUGGGCACCCUUGGCCUGCGGGCCUGGCUGCCUCUGGGGUCGAGGGUCUGGGUGGAAGGACCGCGGGUGUCGCAGGUGUCGUGUCAGCCGCAAUAAACAGAAGCCAGAAGCCCUCUGGGUGGCCCUCAGGUGUAACUGUGUCUGAGAGCACGUGCGUCGCGGGGUUGUUGGGGGGGCCUCUGUUUCCGGAAUUCACCGCCCAGUCGCCAGGGGGCGCCCGCGCGAGCCCGGCGGGGGCACGCGCCACGUGGCCGGGAGACGCACAGGGCGCCGGCGUCGCCGCGAGGCCUCUGUGGUGGGUUCGCCAGGAGGGCACGUUCGCGCCGCGCCGCGGAGGGAGGCUGAAAGGGCCGGGCCGGGCGGCGGGGACACGGCGGUACCGUCCUGCGCUCGGGAACGCGGAAUGUUGCCCUGGUCGCCGCCGCGGUGGGGCGCGGGCCCGGAGGAGGCGCCCGAGGGACCAGGCCUUCCGGCGGGCAAGGACCAGGGCGAGCCCUGGAGCGCCGGAGCAGACGCCCCCAGGGAGCUGGGGACACCCCCAUGGGACAGGUGAGGGGCUCGGACGGAGCCGUGGGGGGACAGCGACUGGGGGCCUCCAUGCCUUCACCACGCGCUCUACGGAGGCUUCUCCAUUGUCCCUGCUGGAGAUUGGGUCCCUCGGUCUCCCUUGCACCAGGCACCCUUGGGCUCCAGGGGAGGGUGCGUGGGGGCGGUGUGGCUGCAGCCUCAGUCCCUGCCCCUCCAGCCCACAGCCCCCAUCCCGUAGCCCUUCCUGGAUCUGGAGAGAGCAGCUGCUGCUGCCCCACCACCUGCCAGGCCCGGCCACUGAGCAGCCCCCCGGAGCCCCAGAUCCCCGUUCCCUCCAGGUGGCCUGGGAGGUGGCCCCCUCGAGGAUGACUCCACUAGCGCCCUGGGACCCCAAGUAUGAAGCCAAAGCAGGACCUCGGCCGGUGUGGGGGGCCAACUGUAGCUCAGGAGCCUCGUUCUCAGGCCGGACGCUGUGUCACCCCUCGUUCUGGCCGCUGUAUGAAGCAGCUUCGGGCAGGGGUCUCAGGCCCGUGGCCCCUGCCACAGGGCACUGGAAUGGACAGCAGGCGCCCCCAGAUGCAGGGUUCCCGGUGGUGUGCUGUGAAGAUGUCUUCCUCUCGGACCCUCUGCUGCCCCGGGGGCAGCGUGUUCCCCUGUACCUGUCCAAGGCCCCCCAGCAGAUGAUGGGCUCCCUGAAACUGCUGCCGCCACCCCCCAUCAUGUCUGCCAGGGUGCUCCCCCGCCCAUCACCCUCCCGGGGCCCCUCCACUGCCUGGCUCAGCGGGCCGGAGCUGAUCGCUCUCACUGGCCUGCUGCAGAUGAGCCAGGGGGAGCCUAGGCCCAGCUCCUCCGCGGUUGGCCCCCCAGACCAUACCUCUGACCCACCCAGCCCCUGUGGUAGCCCCAGCAGUUCUCAGGGUGCUGACCUCUCUCUCCCACAGACCCCAGACACCCAUUGUCCAUAGCCUUCUCAGGGCAGAGUGGGCUGGUUGUGUUGACAAUAAAACAGUGUUGGUUUGC
rnacentral:sRNA from 1 species